rnacentral:rRNA from 1 species
GACGAACGUUGGCGGCGUGCUUAACACAUGCAAGUCGAACGGAAAGGCCCUGCUUUUGUGGGGUGCUCGAGUGGCGAACGGGUGAGUAACACGUGAGUAACCUGCCCUUGACUUUGGGAUAACUUCAGGAAACUGGGGCUAAUACCGGAUAGGAGCUCCUGCUGCAUGGUGGGGGUUGGAAAGUUUCGGCGGUUGGGGAUGGACUCGCGGCUUAUCAGCUUGUUGGUGGGGUAGUGGCUUACCAAGGCUUUGACGGGUAGCCGGCCUGAGAGGGUGACCGGCCACAUUGGGACUGAGAUACGGCCCAGACUCCUACGGGAGGCAGCAGUGGGGAAUAUUGCACAAUGGGCGGAAGCCUGAUGCAGCAACGCCGCGUGCGGGAUGACGGCCUUCGGGUUGUAAACCGCUUUCGCCUGUGACGAAGCGUGAGUGACGGUAAUGGGUAAAGAAGCACCGGCUAACUACGUGCCAGCAGCCGCGGUGAUACGUAGGGUGCGAGCGUUGUCCGGAUUUAUUGGGCGUAAAGGGCUCGUAGGUGGUUGAUCGCGUCGGAAGUGUAAUCUUGGGGCUUAACCCUGAGCGUGCUUUCGAUACGGGUUGACUUGAGGAAGGUAGGGGAGAAUGGAAUUCCUGGUGGAGCGGUGGAAUGCGCAGAUAUCAGGAGGAACACCAGUGGCGAAGGCGGUUCUCUGGGCCUUUCCUGACGCUGAGGAGCGAAAGCGUGGGGAGCGAACAGGCUUAGAUACCCUGGUAGUCCACGCUGUAAACGGUGGGUACUAGGUGUGGGGUCCAUUCCACGGGUUCCGUGCCGUAGCUAACGCUUUAAGUACCCCGCCUGGGGAGUACGGCCGCAAGGCUAAAACUCAAAGGAAUUGACGGGGCCCCGCACAAGCGGCGGAGCAUGCGGAUUAAUUCGAUGCAACGCGUAGAACCUUACCUGGGUUUGACAUGGAUCGGGAGUGCUCAGAGAUGGGUGUGCCUCUUUUGGGGUCGGUUCACAGGUGGUGCAUGCCUGUCGUCAGCUCGUGUCGUGAGAUGUUGGGUUAAGUCUCGCAACGAGCGCAACCCUUGUUCACUGUUGCCAGCACGUUAUGGUGGGGACUCAGUGGAGACCGCCGGGGUCAACUCGGAGGAAGGUGGGGAUGACGUCAAGUCAUCAUGCCCCUUAUGUCCAGGGCUUCACGCAUGCUACAAUGGCUGGUACAGAGAGUGGCGAGCCUGUGAGGGUGAGCGAAUCUCGGAAAGCCGGUCUCAGUUCGGAUUGGGGUCUGCAACUCGACCUCAUGAAGUCGGAGUCGCUAGUAAUCGCAGAUCAGCAACGCUGCGGUGAAUACGUUCCCGGG